rnacentral:lncRNA from 1 species
GGCGUGAAGGAUGUACUCCUCUUCUGGCCCCCAACCAGGGCAUCCGCAGUUCCUCACUCUUGCUCCGUCAACGUUCCAGGGAUAAAACCCUCUCUCGGUGGAUCCUACCUAGCCGACAUCGACCCCAGUCAGAUAGCCGCUCGUAAUUAUGACCCACAGUGUGUGACAAGCCACCGUACACCCUCGUUAUUCCAUUAGAAGUACCAUGCGGACCGAACCGGAAAUUAAGUUACGCCUAUUUUGAGCGCGAUUGACGAGUGUGUGACCGAACAAAAUAGCGCCCUUCCGGGAAGCACCGUCCAGCUACCACCCCAGGACCUCCUCAAUUUCGAUCAUCAGUGUGUCAGUGUUUGUAAAUGUGUGCACUAGAAGACCGUGAAACAAUCAAGAAAUGUGCUUGACAUUUUCUUCAGCAAGAUUCCUGUUUGUGUGUGUAUGUGUGAGUUGGGGCUGUCGUGUCGUGCCAAAAGUGGUUAAGAGUGAGAAUAGACCUAAAUUGGGACCGACCGUACCCGAGUUCUUCCCCCGGUGGGCCUAACAGUUGAAACACGGACCUUUCGGAGGGUGUGAUUUAUUCCAGUCCCCGUUUAAGAUACAAGAUAAUUCAAAAUGUCAACAUUAUGAUGAAUGGUAUUACAAGUGGAUGUUAAAAGGCUCGCUUUCGACCGAAAAACUUCUUUUCUUGAGAGUUGUUUCUGAAACGUGAUAACAAACAUCUGUCAGCGGAAAAUGACACGUUUUGAAAGGACUACAUUCUAUGUCGCACCAUACACCCGUCUGGUGCUACAACUGUUGGGAAUGUUGUAAGCAUUAUUUAUUGAUAGGCUUUUAGAGCUGGUGGUAUUGACCAUCCCAGAAGCGGCCGUUCGAAGGUGCGGUGUCACACACUUUGGCAACAACACCAGAUAUCAAUAGAGGGCAAUGAAAAAGCAAUCAAAACCAACUUUAAAACUCGACCCUUCUUGGAUGGCGCGCGCAUUAGGGUGUUCUUACGGUUAUUGUCGAGAGUCAACGAUGGCUGGCAAAUAUCACCACCACCCGAACGAAAAUCCCCAAAAUAGCUCUUCGGGAGAGUACGCGUGGGGGCGAGAGGUCGUUAUCGUCGAUGCUUUUGUCACGUGGCACUAGCCACCAGGUGCAAUCGGAGUCACGUGUCGUAAAACGGAAUCAUAUCCCUACGUUUUUUUUUUCCUCACAUGUGUGAGUGUGGGAGGAAGAGGCUGUGCUGUGUCGGAAAUUUUCUAGCUCUGAUUGUCCAAACGCAAUUCUUGUAUGAUUCAAGAUACCCAAGAGUUGUGACUGGACAUCCGUGGCUCGGAAUAAUUAAACAACAGAAAAUUAAGUGAUUUCUAAAAUAAAUUUAAAGAUGCAUGGAUUAGCUUUCAACAGCGCAAA